GGUGGCAGAUUUCUUUUCUCAUGUAUUAAUCACAUAUUUAAUCAUAUCACAUUAGUUAUAGUUGUAUCACUUUCUCACAUUACUAUAGUAAGAGCACUCCUGUUACUAGUUUACAUGCAUGUGUAAUGUUAACACAGUGAGGCCAUUGUAAUGGGAGACAUUACACAGAUAGUGAGACUCCCUUUGCUUAUCAGGGAUGUAAAUCCUUAGGUGAAGGCUAAGCAGAAAACAAGGUCAUAAUUCUCUCUGUGAGGGAGAAGGUAUAGCCCCCCGUGAGAGGGGGGGAGGACAUGUGAGAGUUUGUGGAAUGUUCUUUGUCUGUGUCUCUGUAUAUAAGAUGUAAGGGCGGUGGCCACAAUUCAGAGAUGAUCCUGGUGUUUCACUGGGAUGCUCUCUCCACAUUGCAAUGUGUUCAUUAAACCCACUUCAAAUCAAGCUCACUGGGUGUGUUGCAGGUUAUUGUUAAAAUUUCCACAACAAUUUGGCGUUGUCGAACAGGAUUCCUCACGUGAGUUUCGCUGAAUCGCAGGUACGCGGUGACUGGCCAUCCUGGGGGAAAAUUGCCCCAGUCCCACCGUUCUUUUCAAAAAAAGGGGGAACCGCUAGAGGCCUUCAGCGACUGACACAUGCAGGAAUUUAACGAACUAUGAGGUAAAGAAAUGGGAAAAGAAUCUGCAACAGUGAGCUGUUUUGAUUUGUGGGGAGUUUUCAAGUGGACCACAAAAAGGGAAAAUCUAAAAAAAAAAACGACGCCUAAAUUAUGGAUUGUCGUGGGAAGGACUUUUCUGUCCUUGGGAAGGACUCUUCUGUCCUUGGGUUUAUGGUUUUUAGCACUUUGUACCGAAGCAAAGGCUGCAGAGGGGACGCCCGGCUGUAAUGGGUGCUGAGCUCAGCAAAGCGGCUACAGGAGCCGUGGGGAGGUUGUGUCCCUAGAGGUGGUCUGGGUGAAAACUCCAAAUGGGUGAAGUAUGUUUUGUGUAAGAGAAAGAUGUUGACAGGAAUAAGAGGGUUUUUUUUUUUUUUUGUUUGUAGUUUAUUCUUAAGUUGUUGUUGCUUUUGUUGUUGUCCUUUUGUUUUGGAUGGACCACUGGGAGGGAAACCUCAGGAAUACGACACCUAAUUUCAGGACUGUUGUGGGAAGGACUCUGUCCUUAGUUUGUGGUGUUUAACACUUUUGCACCACAAGGAAAAGGCUGGACGGCGAACGUGCUUGUCCACAAAGCUGAGGUCAGCAGUAUGGCCACCUCCGGGUGGUCUGGGCAAAUCCAGGUUUUGAUUGCGUGAUUUUUUUUUCCUCUUUCAGAAAUAUGGGAAAGAAGACGUGCUGUGGGUGUGUGUACAACCGAGAGUGAUGGAAAGAGAUGUGUUAAAAUGUGUACAGAAGAAUAAGAGAGGGAAAGUGUUAAUGAGCAGUGAUGAAAAUGAUAUCAAAUAAAUGUCUUAGUGUUUUUGUACAGGUGGCUACGGAACAGGAUCAACGUCCUCCACAAGCACAGCGGCCGGAGCAAAAUGAUAGAUUAAUAUAAUUGGAACCACAUCCAGCCGUGUUUUGGCUGAAAAUUACACAGCUUCACUCCAUGUACAUCUUCCGAUGAAGAACAAGCUUCGAGGGCAAUCGAUCUCUCCCCAAAGACAAAAUGCAGUUCGAGAGCAACGGCGUCGACUUCAAGACUCAACAAUGUGAACGCACAGCAACACUGCCCUAAACCUUAAAGGGUUCAGCAGCAUGUACAAAUACCAUGGAUGGAUGGAAGUAUGCGCUCCCAGUGACAUCACUGUGUGUGAAUGGACUUGAGAAGACUGUUUGAGUUUCACAUUGCCAUACUGGGAGCUGAAAUGGCAAAGGAAGAGACUGAAAAGAGUGAAAGACAAAAGGCAAAGCUGAAGAAGAACGGCCCACUGGGCCGCUGACACGCCAUAACUGUGAACUGCUGCAGAUGUGGGAGACAGAAGCUGUGAGAAGAGAGCACGGAGGAAAAAUGAAGUCUGUUGUUGUUAAUGUGAGAACACAUGAAAAUUGGGUUGGAAAACUGUGCCCGGCUGUCUUGUGGAGGUUGAGAAAAGUCCGUAGGAUCGCAACAAAGGGAUACAGGUGCAGUGGUCAGAGUAUUGCUGGAAAAAAUCAUCCCAAGGGUGGAAUCUCCUGACUGAGACUGGGUGCUGAUCAGAAGUCUUCAGAGACCCAGCGAGAAACAGGGACCAUUCAUAGCAAAGCUGACAGCCCAGGCAGUGGUUGAGGUCAAAGGUCGUGCGGUUUGGCGCCCUACUAAAAAUCAUGAGAAGAUUCCAGAACCACAGCAAUGACCAUAAAGCUGCGUUGGAAUGAGAGGGUGAGGG
ensembl:lncRNA